CAGAGUAGAUAUUUUAGCGUAAAGUGUCAGCGGAACGGGGAGUUGUCCGCCGAACGAAAGGCAAGGUUUCCUGCCUGCGGUUAAAAUAUCGCAUCCCGCUG
rnacentral:ncRNA from 1 species